rnacentral:misc_RNA from 1 species
AAGUCGUAACAAGGUAACCGUAGGUGAACCUGCGGUUGGAUCAUUAAAAAGAUCUAGCAGGAGUGAUCUUUAUCACUUCUGCAGCUCAUUAACCAUGAGCAAAACAUUUUGUGAACUGUACUUGUCUCUGGCGGUGGAGUAGGCUCAUGGGCCUACUUGUCAGUAGAAGGGUCACCCCUUUUACCGUGGGCAACACCGUCAGCCACCUGUCCUACACUUAUUAUUGUCUUACCAUUCGUAUUCUAUAAUACAAAAAAACAACUUUUGGCAACGGAUCUCUUGGCUCUC